rnacentral:tRNA from 1 species
GAGUUGUUAGCUCAGUGGUCAGAGCGACAGGGAUAUAACCUGGGGUCGUAGGUUCGAAUCCUAUACAAUUCA